rnacentral:tRNA from 1 species
UUUAAUGUGGCAGAAAAGUGCUAUGGGCUUAAGCCUCAUCCAUGAAGAGAUUUUACUUCCAUUAAAA